GACAGUCGAGCGACUGAUUAGAAGCUUGCUUCUAUGACGUUAGCGGCGGACGGGUGAGUAACACGUGGGCAACCUGCCUGUAAGACUGGGAUAACUUCGGGAAACCGAAGCUAAUACCGGAUAGGAUCUUCUCCUUCAUGGGAGAUGAUUGAAAGAUGGUUUCGGCUAUCACUUACAGAUGGGCCCGCGGUGCAUUAGCUAGUUGGUGAGGUAACGGCUCACCAAGGCAACGAUGCAUAGCCGACCUGAGAGGGUGAUCGGCCACACUGGGACUGAGACACGGCCCAGACUCCUACGGGAGGCAGCAGUAGGGAAUCUUCCGCAAUGGACGAAAGUCUGACGGAGCAACGCCGCGUGAGUGAUGAAGGCUUUCGGGUCGUAAAACUCUGUUGUUAGGGAAGAACAAGUACGAGAGUAACUGCUCGUACCUUGACGGUACCUAACCAGAAAGCCACGGCUAACUACGUGCCAGCAGCCGCGGUAAUACGUAGGUGGCAAGCGUUAUCCGGAAUUAUUGGGCGUAAAGCGCGCGCAGGCGGUUUCUUAAGUCUGAUGUGAAAGCCCACGGCUCAACCGUGGAGGGUCAUUGGAAACUGGGGAACUUGAGUGCAGAAGAGAAAAGCGGAAUUCCACGUGUAGCGGUGAAAUGCGUAGAGAUGUGGAGGAACACCAGUGGCGAAAGCGGCUUUUUGGUCUGUAACUGACGCUGAGCGCGAAAGCGUGGGGAGCAAACAGAUUAGAUACCCUGGU
rnacentral:rRNA from 1 species